AACCAAUAUAAUAUGAGACGACCGGCGUGUAAUUAACCAAGAAAAAGGAAACAGGAAAGAUAGGCACGAAAUCUUAAGUCUUGCGUUUCACUUUCACUUUACCCAAACUUGAUUCUCAAUCAUCUCCUGUAUUUCUUUCCUCAAAAGGGUUGAUUAUUUUUUAUACAAAAAAUUGGGUUUCCUUUCCUUUUAAAAUAACCACACCACUAAUUACUUAUUGAUUUCAAAGAGAAAGCAAGCAGGGGAGAAAAUGACGAUGCCAUUGGGCGUGGCUCUAGAGAUGGCAAAGAUGGUGUGGAUAGCUUUAAGUGGGUGGGUUUGUUCUUGCUUGACAAUUGCUGAUGAAGUCGCUGCCUCUCUCCGAAGUGGUGAUAUUGGUCCCUUCCACGUUGGCUAAUCUCAAUUCUUCUUUUUCUUUUUUCAAUCAAAUCCACAUCUCUGGUUAGUUUUCUUCUCAAUCCAUCAAAUUAUACUUCUUUCCUUCAUGUUCUUUUUCUUUCUUAUGUUUAUAUAUGACCAAAAUCAGUUUCUUUUUUAAAAUUAUAUUACUACUUCUGAAAUCUUUGUUUGGUAUAAGACUCGCAUUCUCUAUUUAUUCUUGUUUGGCGUGUUACAUGGUCGAUUCCAUCUCAGGUUCUUCAUAAUACUACUUGGUUUUUGUCAUUACAAUGUUAUUUUGCUUGUAGUUUGCUAUGUUGAAGAGGAAUUUUUGUUUAUAUCUUGCCAUUUAUUCCUUUCGAAUUUUUGUUUCCAACUAGAUGUACUUGUGGAGCAUAAUUUUUUACUAAAUUAUCAGUUCUUCAAGUUGUCAUACUCUUCAUAGGUAUCAUGUUCCCAUAAAUUGUUAUGUUAACUAGAUGAACCCUUAUUCGACUUGGGAAACUUAGAAUUUUAAUUAAUAAUAAUAAUAAUAACAAAGCAUAGGGGGUAAAGGGAUAGAAGCUGCUAGGGAAUCGGGAUAUGGUUGGGAGGACUCCCCAUCAGUGGCAAGUCGAGCAUGAUCCUAUUGCUAAAGUGUUAAUUCUGAAACUCACAUUGGAGAUUUACUUGAAAGCUGAUUAUUGAUGGCUUCAUUUUGCACCGAAGUGUAUAAAAGAAACCCAUUUAGAGAUACUUAGACAGCUUUCAGUUACUUUUUGUAAUAUCCUUAAGUUAGACGAGUUUGUUAUUUACCAAUGAAAAAGAUUCUUAGCUGAUCCUCAGUUUGCUAAUUAUUACAUAUUUAAAGCUUUAGGAAGCUGACAUUUGGAUCUGAUUUUGUUGAGUUGUUUUCCAACGGUUAUCUGUCUGCAAAAUUCUAGUUUUCUUUGCUUUUCAGCUAUCUUUUAAUUUGAUAUCUCUUAGCAUGAAUGGUUUCUCACCCUGUUUUACAAUUUAGGUAGUGGUGGAUGCGCCAAAGUUCUAUGUUUGAUGCAUGCAUUCGGAAUUUUAAAGUUAAUUGUAAUGGGAUUCACUUGUUUUCCUUAGGAUCAAACACCUAUACGAUGAAUUAUAGAGAACCCUUUUUUUUCCUUAAAAGAAAGGUAAAAUAUACAAUUAUGAACUUAAUUAGAGCAUAUGUUGGUUGGAGUAUUAUUCUGUAUCUUCCAACUUAAUUAUAUUGAUUGCAUGUCAUCAAACUUAGUAACAACUAAUGGAUUUUUUUAAGGUGACAUUUGUCUGGCCUUCAUAGUUAAAAUUUUCCUACUGCUGUGUUGUGUAAUAAUUGCAGUUGAAGGACAUAUGCGAGUUGUUCUGAAGGCAUUUCUUGUAAAUUGCUAGACUACAGGACAUGAAAUGAAAGAGUAAAAAUGCAUAUAUUUGAUUAGGUUAGACCAGAUAGGUAUUAUGGUUUGAGGUGUUUUGGUUCUUUAGAGUUCCAACACUCUGGUGCUUGAAGAAGUUUCUUGUUGUGGAUUCCUUCACAAGGAAGUGAGGUGAUGAGAAUCGUCUCAUUUCCCGGUUUCCAUUCUUGCAUCUAACUUCUUGCGAUAGCUUUGGACAAGAACUUAUAACAUAUGAAUUACUACGUAUAGCUUUCUAGGAAGCCUUUACUUGACCUGGCACUUGUGGAACCUUUGGAAUUAGAGUAUAGAUAUGCUUCAUUGAAGGUUUUUGGUGCAAUCAAUGGUUUAACUUUAUUCAAGAUAUCUUCUAAUUUGGUCUAUUGAUUUAAGGUUGUUUUGUGAUUUUUGAUCCUGUAAAGUCCUCAUUUCUGGGUUUGACAAAGUUUUCUAGGAAGAGAUAGAUGUACUUAAGUUUGGUUCCAAGAAGUGUUACUUUAUAUGGAUAAUUCAUUUCUGUUCCCUAUGUUACCAUCUAAUGACAUACAAAAUUGAUUACGUACAUGCUUUUCGGGCUAAGAAUUGAUACAUGUGUGUAUGCAUGUUAGAUAUUUAGUUUUUAAAUAUGGUGAAGCCUGAUUGCUUAUUAUCAUUGCUAUCAUGGAACAUUGUUUAACACUUCUGAACUGCAGCUCUAGAAGGCUUUGUAAUGGGCUCUAUGGCAUCGGCAUAGGGUUUGUUUGUUUUUGUAUUUACAAUUUUUUGCUUAAUUAUUACUGUUGUUUCUUUUGGACCUAUUAUUGUUUUGGAAGUCGGCUGUUAAUUAAUUGUUAGGGAUAAAUACCGAAUCUGCCAUGUUGAGCCAAUAUUCAAUGACAUUGGUCUAUUUUCAUUUGGUUUGGGACACAAACAGGAAGACUAUUUCAUGGAAUAUACCUUACGAACCAUAAAAACUACUAAUAAAUAUAAUGAUUUGGCAAAGUGCUUUUGAAAAAGAAAAAGAAAAAUGUUGAGUUGGAGAGCUAUUUUUUUUCUUUUUUCUUUUUUUUCUUUCCUUUCUCUGUUUUCUCCUCCUCAGCUGCUGGCACCAAUCCAGUUUUGAAUUGCCAAGGCCUUAGGGAGGUUGGCCAGUGUUGAUCCAGGCUCUCUGAUCCAGAUUGGCACUUGGUGGCAUGAGAUCUGGCCAAAUUGACACUGUUUGUUACCAGCUCCUAGCCUGUACAGCUGCAGGCAGUGGUGCUGGCUUGCUCAUUGGCAAGGAAAAAGGUGUAUUAAAGGAGGGAAGAAGAAAGGAGAAACCUGAAAGAAGAAUUAGGAGCAUAGGGAACCAAAAGGCUAAAACCAUUUCUAAUUUCAUUUAUUGGUGUGGCUUGCAAAGCUCGGUUAUUGGUUUUCUUAAAUUCCAGUGUGCUGUAAAGUGUCGGUUCAGUUUGAUAAUAUUAGUCUGCCUGUAUUACAAAGCUCCAUGGUUUGGUCUUCGUCUUUGAUAAGACUACUGGAUGUAUGAACAGCGUACUUUGUACAGAAAGACAAUUUUUCUUCAGAUUUGUGGCAUUCAUGGAAGGCACACUCGAAUCUUUGAUGAUCAGUCUUACUGGUUUAUCCGAACAUUACUCAAUUUAUACAACUAUGUCUGGAUGAUGAGAGUCUGGUGAUUUGUGUUA